CCCUUAGAUGUUCUGGACUGCACGCGCGCUACACUGAUGCGCUCAACGAGUUUUAACCUUGCCUGGAAAGGUUGGGUAAUCUUUUUAAAACGCAUCGUGAUGGGGAUAGAUUAUUGCAAUUAUUAAUCUUCAACGAGGAAUUCCUAGUAAGCGCGAGUCAUCAGCUCGUGCUGAUUACGUCCCUGCCCUUUGUACACACCGCCCGUCGCUCCUACCGAUUGGGUGAUCCGGUGAAUAAUUCGGACUGCGGCAUUGACCGGUUCCCGAUCGUUGCUGCGGAAAGUUUAGUGAACCUUAUCACUUAGAGGAAGGAGAAGUCGUAACA
rnacentral:rRNA from 1 species